rnacentral:rRNA from 1 species
CAGCCGCCACGGUAAUACGGAGGGUGCAAGCGUUAAUCGGAAUUACUGGGCGUAAAGCGCACGCAGGCGGUCUGAUAAGUCAGAUGUGAAAUCCCCGGGCUUAACCUGGGAACUGCAUUUGAAACUGUCAGGCUGGAGUCUUGUAGAGGGGGGUGGAAUUCCAGGUGUAGCGGUGAAAUGCGUAGAGAUCUGGAGGAAUACCGGUGGCGAAGGCGGCCCCCUGGACAAAGACUGACGCUCAGGUGCGAAAGCGUGGGGAGCAAACAGGAUUAGAUACCCCGGUAGUCCCUGUCUCUUAUAC